AAUAUUUAUCAAUCUGACUGUCGAUACAAAAACUAAAGAAAUGAUACUUCCGAUGAAUAAUGGAUAAAACAUAAUCGACGAUCCCGGCUGAAUGGACAAAGGUCAAUGCAAUGUUACGCGAGUCGGGUUCGCAUACCUAUUUUUGUUUUAUCAAUUUCGUUAUCGAUCUAUUUCCGGUAUUAUGUUACUAAUAUUUAUCGUCUGGUCAUUGGUGUUUUUACUCGCUGACUAUUGGUUUCUUU
rnacentral:lncRNA from 1 species